rnacentral:lncRNA from 1 species
AUUGAAGGUGAGUUCACUAUCUUCACAGUGGUAUGUCAAAGCCAGGUCAUUUUUUCCCACAGGCUUUUAGUGCCUGGUCUGUAUCAGGAGACAGAAUCUUGACAACUAGGAUAUUUUUCUAUGGGAGCUCAAAUCUGUUUAGCAUAGUCUUCUUCACAUGCUCAGAAGUUCUCGUAGAGAAGAGUCUUGGUCCAGCAUUCACUCCCAACCCAUAACCAUUGCCCAUCAGGAAUUC